AGUGAACGCUGGCGGCAGGCCUAACACAUGCAAGUCGAACGGCAGCACAGAGGAGCUUGCUCCUUGGGUGGCGAGUGGCGGACGGGUGAGGAAUGCAUCGGAAUCUGCCCAAUCGUGGGGGAUAACCUCGGGAAACCGGGACUAAUACCGCAUACGACCUUCGGGUGAAAGCAGGGGAUCGCAUGACCUUGCGCGAUUGGAUGAGCCGAUGCCGGAUUAGCUAGUGGGCGGGGUAAAGGCCCACCAAGGCGACGAUCCGUAGCUGGUCCGAGAGGAUGAUCAGCCACACUGGAACUGAGACACGGUCCAGACUCCUACGGGAGGCAGCAGUGGGGAAUAUUGGACAAUGGGCGCAAGCCUGAUCCAGCCAUGCCGCGUGGGUGAAGAAGGCCUUCGGGUUGUAAAGCCCUUUUGUUGGGAAAGAAAAGCGGCCGGUUAAUACCCGGUUGUUCUGACGGUACCCAAAGAAUAAGCACCGGCUAACUUCGUGCCAGCAGCCGCAGUAACAC
rnacentral:rRNA from 1 species